GACGAACGCUGGCGGCGUGCUUAACACAUGCAAGUCGAACGGAAAGGCCCUGCUUUUGUGGGGUGCUCGAGUGGCGAACGGGUGAGUAACACGUGAGUAACCUGCCCUUGACUUUGGGAUAACUUCAGGAAACUGGGGCUAAUACCGGAUAGGAGCUCCUGCUGCAUGGUGGGGGUUGGAAAGUUUCGGCGGUUGGGGAUGGACUCGCGGCUAUCAGCUUGUUGGUGGGGUAGUGGCUUACCAAGGCUUUGACGGGUAGCCGGCCUGGGAGGGUAACCGGCCACAUUAGGACUGAGAUACGGCCCAGACUCCUACGGGAGGCAGCGGUGGGGAGUAUUGCACGAUGGGCGGAAGCCUGAUGCAGCAACGCCGCGUGCGGGAUGACGGCCUUCGGGUUGUGAACCGCUUUCGCCUGUGACGAAGCGUGAGUGACGGUAAUGGGUAAAGAAGCACCGGCUAACUACGUG
rnacentral:rRNA from 1 species